AAGGUCAGGCUGAAGACCCUUACCCGAUUAGCUGAGAGGUGGUGCAUGGCCGUCGUCAGUUCGUACUGUGAAGCAUCCUGUUAAGUCAGGCAACGAGCGAGACCCACGUCCACAGUUGCCAGCAUACCCUCCGGGGUGAUGGGUACACUGUGGAGACCGCCGCUGCUAAAGCGGAGGAAGGAGUGGGCAACGGUAGGUCAGUAUGCCCCGAAUCUCCCGGGCUACACGCGGGCUACAAUGGUUGGUACAAUGGGCAUCUACCCCGAAAGGGGAAGGAAAUCUCUUAAAGCCAAUCGUAGUUCGGAUUGAGGGCUGCAACUCGCCCUCAUGAAGCUGGAAUCCGUAGUAAUCGCGUUUCAACAGAACGCGGUGAAUACGUCCCUGCUCCUU
rnacentral:rRNA from 1 species